GGGCCCAUAGCUCAGUUGGUUAGAGCAGAGGACUCAUAAUCCUUUGGUCCCAGGUUCAAGUCCUGGUGGGCCCACCA
rnacentral:tRNA from 11 species